ACAAAGCCCCAUCGAAACCAUUCUGGCGCGGUGUGGGGUAAUAAGGUUUCAUUGGGUAGAUUGACCUACUUACAAUCGCCCCUAUAAAAACGUUAACGGAUCGGUGUGGGAUUUUAGUUAUUGGGCCGUUAACGUCUUUCCGCUUUCGUGCCGGUGUGGGAUUUCCCCAAUCACGCCAGAACCAACAUGAUGAAAUCUUUAUUAUAACAUAAAAAACAAUAUUAUGAUGUUUUAAAAUGUAGUAUUAAUCGUCUUAAAGCUAAAUGUUGCUUUGAAUCCUUUUUGUAAGUAAUAUUAAGAUUUAAAAAAAAAUUAAUUAGGGUUCUAUUGGGGAAAUCCCUAACUGGAAUAGUGAAGUUUUACCCGUAUGGGCCCAAUGCAGACUUUUCGUAAUCAAAUAGUGUGUGUGUGUGUGUGUCUGAUUUUUUAAUGUGCACACUAAAAAAAUAUAUCUAUAUCUAGUAAUAUUUAAUCACACAUAGAAUCUAAAGUUAAAGGAGAACAUAUUUGUUUUUUUUUUGUUGUUUUUUUUUAGAUUUAGAUUUUUAAAAAAAGUUUUAUACAUUUUAACAUUUUUUUCGACCAAUGAAAAAGAAGCAUUUAUUUCUUUUAAGCUCGCGAUAUUCGGCACAAACUGGAUUAUUCAGUCUUCACUCUAGAGCGUACACACGUGGAUCAAAUUAGAGCUAGCUAGAUCUAGAUCUAGUUGAAGAUAUCUACUUGGUAGUCUAAACCUCAAAGGAGCUUAGGGAAGUGAUGGCAGUUGCAGGGUAUGAACCAGACGACCAUGCAGAGACCAACGAGGCGACCAAACAGUCCAUCGUGCAUACCACAUAACCAGGUCCAGAAUGCCAGUUUUUUAAGGGCAGCUGACAAUAAGAAUUGUCUAUGUAUGCACUACAGAUGCUGUUCAAUAUCUUUUCAUGAGGAAGCCUGCUCAAAAAGAUCGCCACAUUUUCUUUAGGGGAAGUUGACAUUAAUCUUUUAGGUUAAUAAUAACCUAUGCAUGCAGUACAGAUGCUGUUCAUCAUCUUUUCAUAAGCAAGCCUGCUCAAGAAGCUGCUGCAUGGAAGUCAAAAUAUGAAUUAUUGCCACCAGUCUUGAAGUCAGCUUGUAAAGAAUGCUAAGAAUGGAAUGAAAAUGCUGUCUUGAUAUCUUGUUUGUGCUGUUAUAUUUGUCUUUUGUGUUGGUUAAUUAUUCCAUGAAUAAAAAAUUAAAAAAAGUUAAUUGUGUAAGUUUGAUUUAAGAAUAAAUGAUCAGAGCAUGCAAGUCUUAUAUAGUACGUUACCAAAAAUUGUAUUGUUUGAUAGUGUUCAAACCCAAAAAUGUAAUUUAACUUGUCCAUUACUUUAUAAAUAUGUUGACAUUAGAUGUAUAUAGAAAUCAUGCACUGAUUCAAUUAUUAUAAUUUCCAAACAAUUAUGUCAAAUAAUUCUAUUGCUAGAUCUAAAUCAUCAGUGUGAAAGUAGACCUAUGUAAAAGGUUAAAAAUCUCAUACUAAACCAUUGAGCUGCAUUUGAACAAAAAGGGCAUUAUAAACAAAAAAUCACUAAUGAAUUUGUUUUAAACUACAGUAUUGAAAAAUAUUAAAGAUUAUUCCUAAUUAAGCCAUAAUAAAAUUUAAUGACUGAACCAUCAGAGACAGUAUUUGCAUAAUAAUACCUAAUUGAGCCCUAAUAAAUAUUUCAGUUACUAAACCAUUAGGGCCAGCAUCGGACCGAUAAUGGCACAAUAAGGGUUAUCCCUAAUUAAUAUUUCAAUUACUAAACCAUUAGGGCCAGCAUUGGACCGAUAAUGGCACAAUAAGGGAUAUCCCUAAUUGAACCCUAAUAAAUAUUUCAGUUACUAAACCAUUAGGGCCAGCAUCGGACCGAUAUUGGCACAAUAAGGGUUAUCCCUAAUUGAACCCUAAUUAAUAUUUCAAUUACUAAACCAUUAGGGCCAGCAUUGGACCGAUAAUGGCACAAUAAGGGUUAUCCCUAAUUGAACCCUAAUAAAUAUUUCAGUUACUAAACCAUUCAGGCCAGCAUCGGACCGAUAUUGGCACAAUAAGGGUUAUCCCUAAUUAAACCCCAAUGAAAAUCUCAGUUACUAAACCAUUGGGGCUAGUAUGGGCUUGAUUAGGGCGCGAUUCUGGAAAUCCCCAAUGAAUCCGGAAGUGGGUUUACCCAUUCUGGGCCGAUAUUGGCACGAUUAGGGUAGCCCGUAUUGGUCCCUUAUGGGAACCUAAUGACGCCAAUGUGCAAACGGUAUGCGCGCCCAUUAGGGCGCGAUUUGGGCUAUUUAGGGCUGCAAUUAGGGCAAAGGGGGAUAACCCUAAUUAUAACUGAUACUGGGC